rfam:Canis lupus familiaris chromosome 26, whole genome shotgun sequence.
GCCAGAAGAUGACGACGUGUGCAGAAACCCCCCUGUGGGCUGCCCGCGUCCGAGCCCCCUGGC